rnacentral:rRNA from 1 species
GGCAACGAUGAAGAACGCAGCGAAACGCGAAAGGUAAUGCGAAUUGCARAAUCAGUGAGUCAUCGAAUCUUUGAACGCACAUUGCGCCUCUCGGUAUUCCGGGAGGCACGCCUGUUCGAGCGCCAUUACAAACUCCAAGCGUGGCUUGAUGUUGGCCGACGUCCCGGGAGGGGCGCGGCUGGAACUGGUUUGCGCCUGGGUGCGGGCCGGGAGCGUGGCAAGACGAGAGUCGAUCGCUCGAUGGACCGGACGGAGGGCGGCAAGGCUUUGACUGUGUGCCUGAGGGCGCGCGGGAAGCAUUUCAAAGUUUGGCCUCGGAUCAGGCGGGGAUACCCGCUGAACUUAAGCAUAUCAAUAAGCGGAGGAAAAGAAACCAACCGGGAUUGCCCCAGUAACGGCGAGUGAAGCGGCAAAAGCUCAAAUUUGAAAUCUGGAGCCGUGCGGCUUCCGAGUUGUAAUUUGCAGAGGGAGUCUCGGAGGGCGUGUCGGCCCAAGUGCCUUGGAACAGGAUACCGCAGAGGGUGAGAGUCCCGUAUCCGGCCGACAUCGCGCUCCGUGUGAGGCCCCUUCGACGAGUCGAGUUGUUUGGGAAUGCAGCUCUAAGCGGGUGGUAAAUUCCAUCUAAAGCUAAAUACGGGCCAGAGACCGAUAGCGCACAAGUAGAGUGAUCGAAAGAUGAAAAGCACUUUGAAAAGAGAGUUAAACAGUACGUGAAAUUGUUGAAGGGGAAGCGCAUGGGGGCAGACGUGGGCGCGGGGUUCAGGGCUUCGAGAUCGGAGCGUGUACUUCCCCGCGCGCAGGCCAGCAUCGGUUCUGGGGGCCGGACAAAGGCGACGGGAACGUGGCUCUCUUCGGGGAGUGUUAUAGCCCGGCGCGCAAUGCGGCCACCU